UACGACUACAUAUCAGGCAUAUCAAUAAGCGGAGGAAAAGAAACUAACAAGGAUUCCCUAGUAACGGCGAGUGAAGCGAGAAGAGCUCAAAUUUGAAAUCUUAAAGGUUUCCCUUGACGAAUUGUAGUUUAAAGAAGUGUUUUCUGUUAGAGGUUCGUAGCAAAGUUCUUGGAAUAGGACAUCAUAGAGGGUGAGAAUCCCGUAUUUGACCGUUAUUUUCUAGCUUUGUGAUACACUUUCAAAGAGUCGGAUUGUUUGGGAAUGCAGUCCAAAAUGGGUGGUAAAUUUCAUCUAAAGCUAAAUAUUGGCGAGAGACCGAUAGCGAACAAGUACCGUGAGGGAGAGAUGAAAAGAACUUUGAAAAGAGAGUUAAACAGUACGUGAAAUUGUCAAAAGGGAAGCGUUUGACACCAGUGUUGUUUUUCGAAAAUCAAUUCAAUAGUUUUUGAUUCUAAGUAGUAUUGACUUCAUCAGCUUGCUGCUUUCUUCUCAGAAAUUAUUGAAUGCACUUUUCAGUUAACAAGUCAACAUCAAUUUCUUUUGUUGUAAAAGGGUAAGAGGAAGGUGGCUUGCGCUUCGGCUCAAGUGUUUAUAGCCUUAUACCUCUACAAUCGGAGAGAUUGAGGUCUGCAGCGUAGAUCCUUCGGGGCUAGAUACACUUGUGCUAAGUUAUAGCUUUUCAUAGACAACUUGUUGACUAUGUUUAGUCAUGUAGCUUACCCGCUUGUGCUAUUUUACCUACGCUUAGGAUGUUGAUCUACAGAGCGAGAG
rnacentral:rRNA from 1 species